UACGAAGGGGGCUAGCGUUGCUCGGAAUUACUGGGCGUAAAGGGCGCGUAGGCGGCUAGAUGUGUCAAAGGUGAAAUCCCUCGGCUCAACUGAGGAACUGCCUUUGAAACUGUCUGGCUUGAGGCCGGGGGAGGGUAGCGGAAUUCCCAGUGUAGCGGUGAAAUGCGUAGAUAUUGGGAGGAACACCAGUGGCGAAGGCGGCUACCUGGACCGGUUCUGACGCUGAGGCGCGAAAGCGUGGGUAGCAAACAGG
rnacentral:rRNA from 1 species